AGAAAGGAGAUGUGUGUAUGAGUUCUGCAGAAGUCCACCAAAUGUGGGCCAGGGUUAUUUCCCUGGUGAUGCUCUGAAGCUUUUGCCAAAGGACAAAUGGAAACAGGAAGUACAAUCAUGCACUGGGGUAAAGAAGAUUCAUCUGCUCUUAGCUACCUACCAUGCCAACACUCCUGAGAAAGCUCACAGAGGCCCAUGAUGCCCACCUGGAUCUGAGGACCUAGAAAGCCACAACAGGCAACCAUAAUCUGGGUCUUCCCUCAGCCAACUCCCCUGCAUAAAGUGAAUGAAUGAAAAACCCAUCUUAUAUUAAUCAGAGUUCUCUAGAGAAAAAGAACCAAUCAGAUGUGUAUAUAUAGAAAGAGAGAAUUAUUUUAGGGAAUUAGCUCACAUCAUUAUGCAGGCUGGUCAAUCAAAAAUCUGUGGAGUGGGCUAGCAGGCUGGAGACCCAGGGAAAGGCUAAAUUGCAGUUUAGAUCAGAAGGUCAUCUACUGGCAGAAUUCCCUCAUCUUCCAGGAAGGUGGAUCUUUUUCUACCAAGGCCUUCAGUUUAUUAGAUUAGGCCCAUGAACAUGCUGGAGGGUAAUCUGCUUUACUCAAUACAUACUGAUUUGAAUGUUAGUAUCAUCAAAAAGACCUUCACAGAAACAUCUAAAAUAAUGUUUGACCAAAUGUCUGCAUACCAUGGCCAAGCCAAGUUUACACAUAAAAUUAAUUAUCACACAUCCCACGAACACCAUCCCCAACAGAUGCUCAUGAGCAUUGUGGUUAUGAUUUCAACUUCAGAAUAAGGCAGAAAUGUGUACAAAUCCUGACCCUUUGACUUAUCAGCUCUCUAAAAAUCAUUAUAUGUCAACUUUCUAGACUUUACCUGAAAAACAGAAACCAAGAUACCCACAGCAUAAGAUUGUUAGGAUUGAAGAAAUUGUUACGAUUGUUAGG
rnacentral:lncRNA from 1 species